AUGAGCGCGUCAAGGAUGCCAGUCCAAACCAGGUCGCAGAGAAGGUGGCCUCCAGGAUUGCCGAAGGCUUCAGCGACACGGCUCUCAUCAUGGUGGACAACACCAAGUUUACGAUGGACUGCGGAGCACCCACGAUCCACGUGUACGAGCACCACGAGAGCAGAUGGCGCUGCCGGGACCCACACCACGAUUACUGCGAAGACUGGCCGGAGGCGCAGAGGAUUUCGGCGUCGCUGCUGGACAGCCGCUCCUACGAGACGCUCGUGGACUUCGACAACCACCUGGACGACAUCCGCAACGACUGGACAAACCCCGAGAUCAACAAAGCCGUCCUGCACCUGUGCUAGGCAGGGCCGUGCGCCGAGCGAGAAGAAGGCCCACUUGUCCAUGUAAAUAGAGCUCUGGGUGCCAGGAGCAGCGCUGGCGGCUCUGGGAGGUGCCACGUGCCUGGGAAGAGGGCGCGCGUCCCGCCGCGGCUGGAAGAUUGGCACGCGUCCAGUCUGACGUCCGCGUGGACCUUCCCCAGCUGUGUGUUGCUCUAAUCCUCCACAUCAAAGCUCUUCCUGCCUGCCCGCGUUGUUCCUAUUAAACAGUUUUAACUAACGUUUUAUAAUCUGGAGAGAAUACUUUUUAAAGCUUAUGAACUAUCUUUUAAAAAAAAAAAAAAAAGGCCGCAUCUUAUACUCCACUAAGUGUGUCUGUGAGUUUUUAUCCUGGUGAAGUCGUCACACGACGUCCCGGGGGCGGGUGGGCAUCUGGGUGGAGCCAGGCCCGGGUCCCAGGAGCUGUGUGCCGGGGUCGCAGCCCCGGACCGCGGUGGAAAGAGCCUUUGUCGUUAAGGUGACGACAGACGUGGGUCGCUGGUGGUGGCAGCUUCGACCGGAGCACGGUGCAGGCUUCCCUGGCAGCCGGAACCUGGCGGAGCUGCGGAGCCCAGAAAGGAGCCCCGGAGCCAUGCUGCGCGUGGGCUUGGAGGCAGGUGGGUCCCCCUUCCCUGACCUGCGCGGUCUCCCACAGGGCUUGGUGUGUCGGCCAGGCGACUGUGUCCCCAGAGCAGAGCCAGAGCUCGGACUCGCCGCCCGGCCAGAGCAGUCUGUCUGUGCUUGGAGCCUCUGGGCGAGUUCUCUGCCCGUCUCAGCUGACGGGGAACUCGGUGCCCUGCGUUCUCUCAUCUGUGCGGAGUUCCGAGAACCGCGCCCUCCGCCCGGCUCCCGCAGGAGGUGCCGUGCGCUGCCGGGGUUUGGGUGAGAACACGCUUCCCUUGGGAAGCAGGGCGAGUUCAGGUGUGGCUCACCGUGGAGCUGCUUUUACCCACCCAGUUCUCUCCCCUUCUUCAACCGCCUCUCAACUCCCUGUGCUGGCCUGUUCCCCGUGGGGGACACAGGGUGGGUGC
rnacentral:lncRNA from 1 species